ACUCCUACGGGAGGCAGCAGUAGGGAAUCUUCCGCAAUGGGCGAAAGCCUGACGGAGCAACGCCGCGUGAGUGAUGAAGGGUUUCGGCUCGUAAAACUCUGUUAUUAGGGAAGAACAAAUGUGUAAGUAACUGUGCACAUCUUGACGGUACCUAAUCAGAAAGCCACGGCUAACUACGUGCCAGCAGCCGCGGUAAUACGUAGGUGGCAAGCGUUAUCCGGAAUUAUUGGGCGUAAAGCGCGCGUAGGCGGUUUCUUAAGUCUGAUGUGAAAGCCCACGGCUCAACCGUGGAGGGUCAUUGGAAACUGGGAAACUUGAGUGCAGAAGAGGAAAGUGGAAUUCCAUGUGUAGCGGUGAAAUGCGCAGAGAUAUGGAGGAACACCAGUGGCGAAGGCGACUUUCUGGUCUGUAACUGACGCUGAUGUGCGAAAGCGUGGGGAUCAAACAGGAUUAGAUACCCUGGUAGUCCACGCCGUAAACGAUGAGUGCUAAGUGUUAGGGGGUUUCCGCCCCUUAGUGC
rnacentral:rRNA from 1 species